CACUGUCAUAGGAUGCAACCUUUCCACAAGUCAGUUAGUCAAAUGUCUCUCCUGGGGCCUGUUGCACAAAAGUAGAAUUAAGACAUCCGGGAUAAAUGACUCAGCUGAGCUCAAUGAAGCCAAAACAUGUGCGUCCAGGCUUAAUUGGUUGCACAAAGACCAAGCCAGGAUGAGCAGACACGGAUUCAUUAAGCCAGGUGAAACCAAUCCUGGAUAGGUGCGCGCUCACGGCUCACUCAAAUAGACCCCGCCACAGAUCACAGAUUAACUGAUUUACCAUGGCAACUAGAGCCGCGUACUUUUCCCCGUCGGAAGCACAAAUCCUCAUGGAGGCAUACGAGGAGGUAAAAGAUAUAAUUAAGAAGAAAGGCAACACCGCCACAGUGAUAAAGCAAAGAGAAAAAGCGUGGCAAAGUAUUGCAGACCGCCUGAAUGCGUAAGUAGUGCACAAUUACACACUCACCGCUCCGCUGAAACAUCACAAUUACAAUUCAAAUAUUUAAUUCACAUCUCCAAAAAUGCAGUUGUACUGUAAUUAUGAAACGGUUAAAUUUUUAAUUGAAAUGCACUGCAGAUAUGAGUGAAAUUGUGUAAAGUAACUCCAUCACACUGUAUAAAGCUAUGAUACAUUUUUUGAUAUUUUUACUGAAAACAAGACAAAAAUACCAAGUAAUUUUUUGCAGUGUGAAUCCAUUAAGUGUGUGUGUGUGUGUGUGUGUGUGUGUGUGUGUAGAUUAAACAUGAACGGGCCAAAACGGACAUGGCAGCAGGUCAAAAUCAAAUACAAGAACAUUCUGCAGAAUGCAGUGAAAAAGAAUACCCACAGACAAGGCACGGGUGGUGGGUCACCAAAGGCUGACCUUACCCCAGCAGAGGACAUGGCCUUGGAGCUAAAUAAAGGCAGGCCCGUCUUAGAGGGGAUCCCUGGGGGGAAAGAGACGCGCAUAGGUUCCUCCCAAGAUGCCACCCGCUUCAUUCAAGUGCCUGGCAGCACUGUGUUCCUGUUAGAGCCACCAGCACAAGCACCAGACGAUGCUGAUCCAGGUGAAGGCCCCAGUGCAGCAGCAACAGCACAUGAUGGAGACGAUGAUGAGGAGGAGACCAUCUCUCUGGAUUCCAGAAGGCAUGAGGACCCAGAUGCUAUACAGUGGGAAAACCAGCCUGGCAACAUAGUGCGUAUUAAUAAAAGGACACUACAUCCUGCCAAAUUCCAGCUGCGCUAAUUGCAUUGUGUUCACAGAGCUCACAAGCUAUCAGAAAGUUGUAUGGCAACCACCUCCGGCGCCAAAUAGAACUGGCAGACAUAGACAUUCAGUACAAGAAGAAAAAGAUGGAAAAUCUUGCACUGGAGUCCGAAAUAAAAAAGGACAAUUAGGAAACUGGACCUUGAAAUAAAAAAACUUGAGGGAGGUGAGAUAUGCCUUCAAUGUACACUGUAUGCUAACUGUAACACAAAUGUAUUAAUCAUUAUUUUUCUUUCCUCCCCCAGCUCCAAGAAGAUGACACAGCUCAAAAAAAAAAUUAGGUAUAUUCUCGUAAAGUCAAGUGAGCCAUGACAUAUGAGCUCUUAUUGUGAGCACACAGGACGGUGGCAUCUUUCUAAGGUUUUUUUUAUUUUCCCAGCAAUCAGUACAACCAAGUCAUCGUUAUAAGGCAUCGCCCUCUUUUGCCCACCCCCAGCACCAGGUGUGGCCACUAGCCUAUAUGAAGGCCCAAAAUUGUGUGUUCCUUUCUGCUCUGACAAUGGCAUGCCCAUUCGUGCGAGAUGUGGUGGAUGAAGAAGCACUUGUGCUGAGGAGAGCCUUCAGGCGAGAAAGGGUCUUCAGGGACCGGAUGGACCCACUGGCCUUCCCUGAUGACCAUCUAUAUGAAAGAUACAGGUUUUCUGCAGAUGGCAUCAGGUAUCUAUGCAAACUACUGGGUCCCAGGAUUAAGCACCGCACUGCACGGAGCCAUGCACUGAGUGUGGAGCAAAUGGUUUGUGUGGCCUUGCGCUUUUUGCUAGUGGAGCCUUCCUGUACUCAGUGGGGGAUGCAGAACAGCUGAACAAGGCCACAAUUUGCCGCACAAUAAGGAGUGUGUGUCUGGCUAUCAAAGCAUUAGCAGAUGUCUUCAUCUCCUUCCCUGGCCACAGAAGACUCUGUGACAUCAAAGAGGAGUUCUAUAGGAUUGCAGGUAAGAGGAUCUACAAAUUACAGGACAACUGUUAACACAUAGUAGGAUACUCAUUACUUUGUGUGACAGGUUUCCCCAAUGUCAUUGGUGCAGUGGACUGCACACACAUAAGGAUAAAAGCCCCCUCAGGUGCCCAUGAGGCCGAUUUUGUGAAUAGGAAAUCCUUUCACAGCAUUAAUGUUCAGAUGGUCUGCAAUGCUGACUGUGUGAUCAGCAAUGUUGUGGCAAAAUGGCCUGGCUCAGUCCAUGACUCCAGAAUCUUUCGGGCCUCUGAAAUCUAUCAGUGCCUAUCACAAGGUGAAUUCUCUGGUGUGUUGCUGGGAGACAGGGGGUAUGGCUGCCAGCCUUUUCUCCUGACACCUUUCACAGACCCCCAGGAAGCACAGCAGGCCUACAACCAUGCCCAUGCCAGGACCAGGGCCAGAGUUGAAAUGACCUUUGGCCUCCUGAAGGCACGCUUUCACUGCCUUCACAAAUUAAGGGUCAGCCCUGUUAGGGCAUGUGAUAUUACUGUGGCUUGUGCUGUCCUCCACAAUGUGGCCUGCCUGAGGAAGGAGAGGGCCCCCAGAGUGCCACCAGCCAUGGACUGGGACAAUCCGGCAAUCUUCCCUGAUGACGACAGUGGUCGGCUGCUGAGGGACCAAUAUGUGUUGAAUUAUUUUAGUUAGUAUGUGUGCUUUCAAUUUUGGUUAAAUAUGUCCUGCGGUGGCAGAGGAAUUUGGUUUUUUUGGGUUCGUUUUUGACGAAUUUGGCCUCUUAUGAUGUUUGUGCGGUAUACUGUGUGUAAUACAAGGCUGCAGGGAGGCUACUGCAUCCAUUCAUUUGUCUGUUCAGUUGAUGUGUAUGGAUUUGUCCUGCAUUUAUUUUAGUGUGCAGACAUGCAGGGUGUGUUAUAUACAGACCUUUGAAUGUGUAUGUAUCAUUUUGUAUAAUAUGCUUGGAUUCUGUGCUUUCCAUCUUGUAGAGUCACUGUGACUUCAGUUUCGAAAGGAGCUGAUGGUUUACCUGCUUUGUUUUGUCCUUAUUCAAUAAAGGAACAUAAUGUUACACAUUGUGUUUUUAUAUUCAUAUGGAAUGUGUAUUUGUUUAUAUGACAGAGUACUAGGGCCACACUGAAGAAAAAGGAUAUAGUCAUACAUUUAUGAGGCUGGUUCUUUCUGCAGAAAAGCUACAUAUUGUUUUUACAGUUUUGAUACUUAUGACAAUGUGAUACUUAAUAUUCUGGCACAUCAGCAUGUCUUUGUUUAUGAAACCAUACUGAAGUACAAUUUCACGAAAUGCCCCACAUCUGUCAUUUUAACAACUGUCCUCCUUUAAAACAACUGGUUACAAUAUUAUGACUUGUGUUUUUUUCCCCUCUGUGGCCCUAAUAUUCUAUCAUUUUAUAUAUAGCCUUAUAGUCUAUGGGAAACUGUAAAUUAUC